rnacentral:siRNA from 1 species
GGGUCCGGGAGCUGUGACUAGCA